AUCUUGCCAAGUGAGAAAUGGCCAUAUUGGGAAAGAGCCACACUAGGUACACCAAUUUGUUUAAGAUUUUUUUUUUUUUUUUUUUUUUUACAGAAAAACCUUGAUAACUGGGAAUGCCAGUUGUACUCUGAGCAGAGGAACGUUUGUGCUUGGCCUGCCUGUGCUUUGGAAGCAGCAGAGUCCUGUUUGCGGGUUGCUGGCUCCUUGGUGUGGAUUUGGGGCACCUGAACGUUCUCCCUGUGUCUGCCCUCAGAUCCGUGAAGUUCCUCCCUGAGCAUCGUUUCACAUUUUCAGUGCAUUUCGGAGAUCUUCAAAAGGUGGUAUGUGUGCAAGCUGUGUGAUGGGAGGCAACUGAUUUUAACCCUGGCCUUUGCAUCCAAACACUCUCUUCAGAUUGGAGUGCGAUCCAGUACAAAAUCUGAGUGGGGCAAUGGAAAGUUAAUAAACUUCCUGUAAUCCAGCUUUGUGGGUUUGUUCACUUUGAAAAAGAAAGAAAGAAAGAAACCCAAGAGGGUACAGGGAAAUUCCACAUCUUCAGCGUUCCUGGAAGCGCGGCUGCUCCCUCUAGUUGUUGCGCUCUGGUCUUUCCCCAACCGCGUCCUCCGGCCGUGCUUCAUGCAGUGCCUAAGGCGGAGAGGAAGGUGGCCGCGGUGGCUCUGCUGCUCCGUUGCUGUGCGGCUGUCCCCGCUAUUCCUCCUCUCCCGUCUCCCUUCUCCCUCUCUGGACAAGUCCCACCAAAAGGCCUCUCUGGACAAGUCCCACCAAAACCCUCCUGCACGGGGCCCCGGUGGCCCACGCUGACAUUUGGGAAGCAGCAAUGCCGCUGCCGCGCGGGACUGGUGCUUCACCGCCGCGCGGGCGGCACGGUGCUGGCCUCCCCUCGCUCAGACGCUGGGCUGCAAGUGAUUUCGAGGAGAAAUAAUAUGCAUUCUUGCUCUGACAUGAUAUAAAAAUGUCUUUAUAUGAGAAAGUAUAUAUUUUAUUGAGGUGUGCUUCGUAUUAGUGUCGCAUAAGACCUUGAUUUCAAUAUAACAAUAUGAAAGUGCACGUGUAAUUUCUCUUCUGAUCACUUUAAUACCAAACCCACUGUACAUGGUAGUAAUGUUAAACUAAUGUGACAGCAUAAUACAAGUAUAAAGUGAUGUAAAACCCAUUAAUAUUAUAGAAAGUUAUUCAUCUUAUGCAAAGGAUUCUAAAGAAUAAUUUGAUUAAAAUUCCUCGUCCCUUUCUCUUGUUCUAGUGGAGCUGCUCUGAUCAAAAGAGAAGGCUGAUGAACAAACUUGAUAUUAGCUAAUUUCCAUACAAUAACUUCUCGUUCUUACCGCUGCUCACGUGCUAGCUUGGAGCGCGGUCGCUGCUGUCAGGGUCUCGGCUGGCUGCCAGGGCUGGUCGGGAGGUGUGGGGAGAGAGGUGUGCAGCCAGGCAGCGGGCUGAGUUUGGGGAGCCUGGUCCGUGUUGGCAUGCACCUUUUCCCUUGUCCAGUUUCAAGGGCACGUAAAACUUGAGCGAAUCAGGCCAUAAACGUUUAAUGAUACGAGUUGUUCCUCAAAUACAACAACGGAGCAAGUUGCAACCGCUAGCAAAAAUGCCUGUGCGCCGAGUGUAAAAGUAGCCUUUUUUCACAGCAGAUUUUGGUUUCGUCCAGUGCGCUGCGUGGCGUCUGUUUUAACUCUCUGCAAACUUUAGGCCUCUGAUAGAACAAAGUAGGAACUGUGUGAUACCAAGACACGCAUUUCCCCAAUUUCAUCAGAUCACUGAAGACAGCCAACGAGAAUAUACGGUGUGUAAAAAGCCAGAUUUCCGGUGACAUGAAAUGAAAAGUUGUAAGACUGUGGUUUUAGGGAUGGCCUUUCUUUUGUGGCUUUUGGUUUAGUAUGUUGUUUGUCAGGUUUUUAUAAGAACAUUAUUGCUUUAAGAAAAAAAUUUAAACCCUGAGAAAUUACUCUCAGU
rnacentral:lncRNA from 1 species